AGAGUUUGAUCCUGGCUCAGAGUGAACGCUGGCGGUAGGCCUAACACAUGCAAGUCGAACGGCAGCACAGUAAGAGCUUGCUCUUACGGGUGGCGAGUGGCGGACGGGUGAGGAAUACAUCGGAAUCUACUUUUUCGUGGGGGAUAACGUAGGGAAACUUACGCUAAUACCGCAUACGACCUACGGGUGAAAGCAGGGGAUCUUCGGACCUUGCGCGAUUGAAUGAGCCGAUGUCGGAUUAGCUAGUUGGCGGGGUAAAGGCCCACCAAGGCGACGAUCCGUAGCUGGUCUGAGAGGAUGAUCAGCCACACUGGAACUGAGACACGGUCCAGACUCCUACGGGAGGCAGCAGUGGGGAAUAUUGGACAAUGGGCGCAAGCCUGAUCCAGCCAUACCGCGUGGGUGAAGAAGGCCUUCGGGUUGUAAAGCCCUUUUGUUGGGAAAGAAAUCCAGCUGGUUAAUACCCGGUUGGGAUGACGGUACCCAAAGAAUAAGCACCGGCUAACUUCGUGCCAGCAGCCGCGGUAAUACGAAGGGUGCAAGCGUUACUCGGAAUUACUGGGCGUAAAGCGUGCAUAGGUGGUUGUUUAAGUCUGUUGUGAAAGCCCUGGGCUCAACCUGGGAACUGCAGUGGAAACUGGACGACUAGAGUGUGGUAGAGGGUAGCGGAAUUCCUGGUGUUGCAGUGAAAUGCGUAGAGAUCAGGAGGAACAUCCAUGGCGAAGGCAGCUACCUGGACCAACACUGACACU
rnacentral:rRNA from 1 species